GUGCCACGCGGUAAUACGUAGGGUGCACGCGUUACUCGGAAUUACUGGGCGGAAAGCGUGCGCAGGCGGUUAUGUAAGACAGAUGUGAAAUCCCCGGGCUCAACCUGGGACCUGCAUUUGUGACUGCAUAGCUAGAGUACGGCAGAGGGGGAUGGAAUUCCGCGUGUAGCAGUGAAAUGCGUAGAUAUGCGGAGGAACACCGAUGGCGAAGGCAAUCCCCUGGGCCUGUACUGACGCUCAUGCACGAAAGCGUGGGGAGCAAACAGGAUUAGAUACCCUGGUAGUCCACGCCCUAAACGAUGUCAACUGGUUGUUGGGUCUUCACUGACUCAGUAACGAAGCUAACGCGUGAAGUUGACCGCCUGGGGAGUACGGCCGCAAGGUUGAAACUUAAAGAAAUUGACGG
rnacentral:rRNA from 1 species